CAGUAGCCGCGGUAAUACGAAGGGUGCAAGCGUUACUCGGAAUUACUGGGCGUAAAGCGUGCGUAGGUGGUGGUUUAAGUCCGUUGUGAAAGCCCUGGGCUCAACCUGGGAAUUGCAGUGGAUACUGGAUCACUAGAGUGUGGUAGAGGAUAGUGGAAUUUCCGGUGUAGCAGUGAAAUGCGUAGAGAUCGGAAGGAACAUCUGUGGCGAAGGCGACUAUCUGGGCCAACACUGACACUGAGGCACGAAAGCGUGGGGAGCAAACAGGAUUAGAUACCCCUGUAGUCCCUGUCUCUUAUAC
rnacentral:rRNA from 1 species